UCUCUCUCAAAAUAAUUUUUUUUUUUAUUGAAAGAAACAGAAGAUGGGAGGGUGACCCUCAGAUGUGGGCAGUCUUUAGCGUCUACAUGUUUAUCUCAAGUAGCGAGAAUGAGAGAGUAACCUGUGGAGACUUAGAAUUGAGAUAGAGGAGAAGGAACUAGCAGAGAAGAUGAAAAAGGAAUGGCCAGAGUUGACAGAAGAAAGAAACAGAAAAGUCCCAAGGUGUGGAAGAAGGCAUGAAGUAAGAAUUUAUACAAAAAGGUCAGUCUGUGUAUACAGCCUGUGGCACUGCGGACGUGAGCGGGGGAAAUGGGAAGCUGCCUUCCUGACCCCUCCAGUUCCCUCCCUCUUUCCAUCACAUGUUUUUCCCAGUAAGUCUUUCCACAUCUGGCCUUGGACUCUAUUCAGAAGAUCCAACUAACACAUCCUCCUUUCAUUCUGAGGCACUCAUAAGAGCUGAGCCUUAAUAAAGAAAGGAGCUCUCUA